AUUCUUUGGUUGACUUUGGAUAUAGCAGCUGAAAAGCCUGAGAGUCCCCAAAGAGUUCCAAGCUUUCACCAUGACUGCUGGGCGGGGGUGAUGCUCCUUCAGUGUUGGUGAAGACUUAAGUCUUUUCCUCAUCUCUUUCCUGAUGUUUGGGGCCUUCUCCAUGGGCCGGAACUUGGGCCAGGGUCUUGGAAGAGCCUCUCCUCUCUCAUAACCUCACACAAGCUGAUUAAUGAAAACAAACUUUUUUUUUUUUUUUUAGUUUACUUAUUUGACUUCCUUUAUAAACGUUUCCAACCAGAUUUUAUGCCUGGUAAUGAAAUUAUGCUUAUUUUUAAACUUCUAAAAAUGUUUCCGUCAUCCUUGAGUUGGCUGGAAUUUCAAUUUAUUCAGGCAUGGAUUAUUCAAAAAGAAGCUUGCUGUAUUUGGCAAAUGGCUGGAGUGCAGUGGUGUGAGCACAGCUCACUGCAGCCUCAAACUCCUGGGCUCAAGUGCUGUUCCUGCCUCAGCCUCCUGCAAAGCUGGAACUACAGGUCACAUCUCAAAUAUGAACAUCACCCAGAGGUUACCCAGGUGAUCCCAGGCCAUCUCGGGAUAUCCUCCACGUCCCACAAUUCAGUAGCCAAAGGAUUGAACUGGUACCUGUAGAAGACUUCCUGGAUUCCCUCUCCAAGACCCACAAUCCACUAUGAUUGGAUAAGGCCUACACUCUAAUUGAUCAGUACUACACACACACACACACACACACACACACACACACACACACACACACACACACACACUCACUCACCAAGCCUUGGUUUCCUUUUCUAAAAAACAAAAGAAGGUAAAGGAAUGCCCUCCCAAGUCUCUUUCUAAAAUUUUCAAGUUCUACAGGCUCAGUAGGCAUCCAGCCUCUCAGCACUACCCUACGUCCCAUAUGCCCACGUAGAUAAACUUGUUUUAAUAAAAGCUAACUUCCGAUUUAGCACACAGUAUUAAGAAUUAAAGUUGGAUGAAGCUAUUACUGUUAGGAAUAGCCUUGGGCUAUUUUUCAAUUCACCUAUGUCAUACGUCAAGUGAUCAAGAAAAUCAAAUGCUGUAUCCCGGAAAAUAGAACAUGAAAAGGCAGGAAUAAUGUGUGUCUUUAGGACACACAUUUGAACACAAAAGAAUUAGGGCCCAAAUUUCACUAUAUGUCAAAUGUGAAUUUAUUUCUAUAAAAGGCUUCAGAACUCUCUAAGCUUUGCAUUGUCUGAAGAGUGCUACAAAGCCAUCUGUGACUUGUAGUGGUUGCAUCCAGAUCUUUGAAAAUGCUUUUUCUUCUUAAUCAAGUUAGGAUAUUGGAUUUCCAGAAGAGUAGGAUCUCUAUAUUUUGAUACUCGCCUGAUUUCUUAAAGCUCCUAAAGGUGCCUUUUGACUUCCUAACUGAUUCUAACAAACACAUGGCUUCAGUCUCUCUGGCUUCCCCUUUGUCUAAGAACACUGACAUUAGGAGUUGCCAAUUGGCACCUCUAUGUGGACACCUUCCACCCAGAAACCAUGUUGAGUUUUCAGGUUUCACAAUGAUGCUGAUUUGAGUCAGCACUGUUGGAAAUGAGGGUCUUUUAAAAAAUGCUUCAGAUUCCCAGUUAUUCCUACCUUUGUCUCUUCAGUCCUCAACAUCCUCUGGGGCAAAACUAGAGAGCUGCACUGUUUCUGUGUGAGGUGAACCUGCGUCCACAGAGGAGCAGCACCCACGUUCCCCACUCAAGACCUGUGUAAUUUAUUUCUAGCAAAGCUCCAUCCUUAAUUCACUAUUAUCUUGUCUUUCUGGCAUCCUCCUUCCCUCUGUGCUAUGCAUGUUGGGGUCGGUGAGGGGAGCAAUGACCCAGAGAGGGGCAUCUUUAGCACGGCAAAGUCCUUUGGAUGAGCUGAGGAUUCCCAUCUUGACUGAAGUUUUCCAGUUUUAAAAUCUCAUCUUUCAUUUUGUGAUGCUUGAUAAAGAUAGCAAAGUAAUAUGAGUUAGUAAAUGUUAACACGUGCUGCAAAUACAAAAGCAGUUUAUUCUGUCAUUGAUAAUGGAGGAAAAUGUGCAAUAAUAGUAUUGAAUUUGCACUCAUAGGUAAGAGCCUCCAUUGCAACGCAAAAUCUGAUUUUUGUUUGUGACCAGCAUGAAUGCUGACCUCUGCCCUUUGAAUGAUCUUUCCGUCUCCCAGAAAGUUCAUGAAAAGGUCAUGGAGCUGCGCUGACUUCCUCUGUGUGUGCAUGGACGUGUCUUUGCUAUUGAUCCGGGAAAAGACCAUUCUGUGGUUUUGUUCAUUUUAUUUUUAAUGGAAACCUAAUCAGUAAUUAUAAAAUGUUUCUAGUGGAAUUCACGCCUGAGUAAGUGAAGAAAGCUAACCUCAUUUCAUGCUGAUUAUUUAACCUUGGUCAUAACUCCUAAUUAAAUGCAUUUCUUGAACCUGUAACAAAGCAAAAUAUGGCACUUACUGGUCAGAAGUUCAAAGCAGGAGAGAGAAAAAAUGGCUUAAUAGCUGGAAAUAAAAACAUCAGUGAAUUUUU